UCGGUUUUAGUCCUCAAUAGAACAAAUUUCAAGGAUUCGAAAGAGAAAAUGGAGAUAGUUCUUGACUACAUGGAUCUUGACAUUUCAUUAAGGAUUGAGAAAUUCACUUCUCUUAUAGACUUUAGUACAUUUGAAGAGAGGAAAGAAUAUGAAAAGUAGGAUCUCUCAAAUCACAAGAGUCUUUCUUUAGUCUUCUUUGACGUCAAUUUAGCUUCAACACCUAGAAACACUUACAGGUUAGAUUCUGGUGUAACUAUUAACAUCAAUGUUUUAAUGAACAGUUGCAUAAGCUACCGAAAGCCAAAUGAUUUUGAAAGAAGAAAUGGAAAAUUAGUGAAGGUGAAAGCUAUAAGACAUUUUAAAUUAUUAUUGUGUAUUGGUUUUUAUUUGGAUUUAAAAGACACUUUUAUUCUACCAUCAUUUAGACAAAAUUUGGUUUCAGUUUCCUAUUCGGAAAAAUUAAGUUAUUUGUGUUCGUUUGGAAACAAUGAAUUCAAAUUGUCUUUGAACUUAAAUGUUGUUGGAAUCGAUUCACUUUUGACUAAUGAUAAUUUAUAUAUGCUUGAUAUAGUGACUUCCUAUAGUGAAUCUUUAAAUACGAAAUUGUAUUAUACUAUGCUAAAAUUGACAAUACUGAUUCAGAAGCAUUGUGGCACAGGUGUCUAAGUCAUAUCUCCAAAUAUAAAGUUGAACAACUUGCAUCAAAUGGGAUAUUAGAUUCCAUUGACUUCAAAAACUUCAAUAUUUAUGUUGAAUGCGUUAAAGGUAAACAAACCAAGACAUUGAGAUUAGGUGCGUAUAGAGCUACAAACGUCUUAGAAUUAAUAAUACAAACAUUUGUGGGUCAUUCACUACACCUUUAUGGAAUGGUCAACAAUAUUUUAUAUCAUUCAUAGACAAUUAUUCUAGAUAUACAUACAUGUAUCUCAUAAAUAAAAAAUCUCAAUCUUUAGAUGUAUUCAAACCAUUUAAGAAUGAAGUUGAGAAUCAACUUAAAAAAGGAUUAAGAAUGUUGGGUUUGAUCGUAGUGAUGAAUACUACAAUGAUGGUUCAGAUGAACAAUGUCUAAGGCCUUUUACCAAGUACUUAAAGAAAUGUGGAAUCGCCCCAUAAUACAUAUGUUAGGUGCACCUAGCAUGAAUGGUGUGGUUGAAAGAUGAAAGCAAAAACUUUAGAGAGACACUAUAGGAAGAGAUACUAAAGACUACAACUUAUAUUUCAAAUAUAGUGCCAACCAAGGUAGUUGCUACAACACCUCUUAAGCUUUGGCUUAUGCAAAAGCCUAGUCUGAAACACUUUUGUGCGUAGGGAUGUCCAAUUGAAACAAGGCCUAAUAAGUCAAAUGAAAAGAAAUUGGACUCCUAAAUAGUGAGCAACUAGUUUAUUAGUUAUUCUAAAAGAUUUAGUGGCUAUAAAUUCUAUGAUCCCAAAUUAAAGACAAUUGUUUUAAAUGAGAAUUGUCACAUUCUUUAAGGAUAAUGAGUUUGGGGAGAAGAAUGAGGUUAGAUAAUUUGUUUUUGAGGAAGAAUCAGUGACAAUUCUAGAUUUGAUUCAUACAUUUGCUUUUGAUGAAGCAAGUUCAUAAUCGCUACAGGAUCAAACUAAAGAUCUUCAAGAAAACCUAUGCUUCACGAGUCAGUAUCUUUGUAGAGAUCGAUGAUGGAAAGGAGAAGUAUUAUUCUAGAUGAUUAUGUGAUAUUUAUCUAAGAUAAUAAAUGAAAAUAAUGAUAUGAUGGAAGAUGACCCAGUCAACUUCCUUUAAGCUAUGCAAGAUCCCAAUUUAGAAAAAUGGAUUAAAGCAAUGAAUGAAGAGUAUAAGUUCAUAAAAAAUAAUUUAGAGAGGUAUAAAGUUCAUCAUGUGGCCAAACAAACUCUUAUGACUUCAUCCACAAUGGUUGUAGAAUUUUUAAUAUGUUAUGAGACGUCAAAUCAAGGAAUAUGAUUGAGAAACUUUAUCAUAAAGUUGCGCAUUAUGGAAGGGAUUGAAAGACUACUUAAGUUAUAUUUGUCACAUUGAUACACUCCCCCUCAAGUGAAAGCGUUUAAGUACUCAUUUUCAUACCACCGUUGAUCUUAACGGGAUACGCUUACAUGGAACCCUUUGAUAUAACACUAAUGAGAUCUAAGCUCAACCACAUAAGGGGUUGAUACCACUCUCUACCUAAAACCUUAAGACAAUGGUUUAUUGGAUUUUCAAUCUUAUAUGAUGCUCUACUUUCUCAUUUCCAUCCAAUGUGGGACUUAGACGCACACUUGAAAUUCUAACACUAACAACAAUAAGAAUUCGAGCAAGUCAAAACAUAUUGACAUUAAGUUCUUAGUUGUUAAUAAGACAAUGUAAUUAUUGAUGUGAGAUUAUAAGCAAUAUUCUAAUAAGUUAUAUAAAUAGAUUAUGGUCUAAAUAUUAUUUCAAUUUCUUUCUCUUCUUUUCCAUUAGAAGAAAAAAAAAACAAUGGUGCUACAAAGUUAGAAAAUUAUAAAAUUAUAUUUCAUGUAUUUUACUUUCACAUAUUAUUUCUAUUAUAAUUAGAGAUAGUUUAUUAUAUGAUAGAGUUUGAUGGCUCAUUAAUAAUUAUUACAUAUUUUAAUAAUACAUGUGAGAAAUACAAAAUAUUACAUAAACAACUAAAAAGAAUACUCACCGUAGAAAACUAUUUAUAAUCUUUACAAAGAAAGUGGGAAUUUUUUUUGUGAAAAUGAAGCUUUUCUUCAAGAAGAAAAAGAGAAGAAGGACUUCUCUUCAUACACUCCCAUAAUCUUCUUUAAAUGAACAUCAUUAUUUUUAAAUAACUAUGUUACCUUUUAUAAACGUGUCUUCAGGAUUAGGUAUUAAAGAAAUCUUCUCGAGCAAGUUUUUUUUUUUUUUUUUUUUUUUUUAAAUUUUAAGAAUAUGACUUUUAUAACAGAGAUUUUGAAACAGGAUUUCUUGAAUAAAUGUUCUAGAACAUAUUAAAUGCAUUUCAAAACAAGAUUUUUAAAAAUAUAUGAAAUGAUUUUCAAAACUAGCUUUCUUGAAAGUUCUUUUCAAAACAUGAGAUACAUUCUGAAAUGAAAUUUCUAAAGUUUUUCAAAAUAUAUAUGAUAUAUUUUCGAGCAAACUUUCCAGAUCAAGCUUUCUACUAAUUUGAUUUGAAGUGCAGAAGUGCAUGUAGUAAUCUUUGGGUGCAGUUAGUAAUCAUGGUGGGCAGCGACAAGCCCAUUACAAUCUAUCCCAACACAAUUUUUGGAUGUUGCUCUCCCACUUCCCUGACUCUCUAUAAUUUUUUUAAUUAUAAAAUUAAUCUUUUUUACUUCUUAAUUUUAUUUUUUUACUUUUUAGUUUUAUUUAUUUAUUCUUCUGAAAUUCUAAUUUCUAUUCAUAUUUACUUCUCAGUACCAUUUUCACUGCAUAGUCCCACCUCUCAUUUUCUCUUUUCUCUCUUUCUAGAGCUCCUUUACUCUCACAUUCAUUUCCAUCUCAAGAUUCGUUUCCACCCCUCUAACUCUCUCAGAUCUGUUAUUUAUCUUCAAUAUUCGUUUGUUUGUUUCCUCCAUCUCCGUUUGGGUUUUGUGGUGCGGCGGUUCGGGGUGUUUGCGGUUGUCAUUCAGGUGGUGCAGCGGUGCGACGGUGCGACAAUGAGAUGGUGCGGCGGUGCAAUAGUGUGUGCGCUGGCCAGUGCUUCGCGACUUAGGUCUUCGAGAGGUUAGUUCUUCAUAGAUUAUAAUUUUUUUUCAUAAAUGUAUUCAAUAUACUUUAUUGUGUGUGGUUGAUGUCGUUGGGUUUUGUCUAUGCUAUGUCAUUUCUCUGUGUGUUGUGUGAUUUUUGUGUGUAUGUCGCAUAUCUGUUUGAGCUUGAAACGGAUGUUAACAUUCGUCAACGGAUACACGACAUCUGUUUCAGGCUCAAACGGGUAUGCGACAUCCAUUUCAGGCCUGAAUGCUUUUUUUUUUUUAAUUUUCUUUAGUGUUUAGUUUAUUAUUAGUUUUUAUUUUUAGUUUUUUCUUUAUUUUUUAAAAUUUUGUUAGUUUAAUUAAGUAUAUUUUGUAUUUAGUUAUUGAAUUAUUAUAUAAACUGUUUUUUUAAUUACUUCAACGGAUCUGACACAUCCGUUAACGGACAUGGGACAUCCGUGUAGGAUGUUUUUUUUUUGUUUUUUUAUUAAUUUAAAGGCUUAAUAGCCUCUUUUGUCCCUACUUAUGCUCGGUUGUGUCAAUGAGGUCCCUGGUUUAAAAAUAGCGUUUAAUUGGUCCUUAAUUAGAAAAUUUUGUGUCAACGUUGUCCCUUCCGUUAAAAAUCACUAACGGUGUUAAUGGAUUGAUGAUAUGGCAGGUCAUUUUCAAUUCUUUUUAAUCUUUGGGCCACCUAAUCCCUCCUACCGCGUAAACUUUGACUUCUCUAAACAGUAGAAACCCUAAUUCCUCAACUGUAGCCAAACCCUAUCCACAGUCACCACCUUGCCGUGCCGCAUAAGUGAAGUCACCGUCAGAACGCCACCAUGACCAUCCAUCCACAACAGAACCACGACCUAUCAAGGGAAUAGUUGGGUCAGAAAAGCAAUUGGAACUCUAGAUCUUGUAAUGACUCAAAUGAAAAGAAAUCUACCAGCGGGAAUUCUCACUGGAGAUUUGGGUGUACUAAGCCUAGAAAUCAAGAUUCCAACUUCGACAUGAAAAACAAUUGGAACUCUAGAAGCAGUGGAAACUGGGCUUCUGAUCCAAAAAAUAGCAAUUGGAAUCCUGGAUCUGAUAAUUCCAAUGAAAAUCCAGAUAGGGGAGAUAACGACAACGGGAACAGAGGUGGUUUUGGUGGUGCAACCUUCUUCCAUCAACAUCACCAUAUAUCAAUGCAGAAAUCAGAGGCAGAGAGAACCCAAAAUUGCGUCCUCACCAUGGUCAUCAUCUCCUCCAUUAACGCAUCAACCAUGGAACUCAGUUCACACUAAAGCGCCUCUCCCAGCAGAUCGCGAACCCAAGUGCGACCUCACCACCCCCGGUACCUCGUGGUCGUCAUCUUCCUCUUCCAUUAUCUGUUUUCCCUUAUUUUCUUUCAUCUAAGACCAACCCAUCACACUCUCUCUAUCUCACGCUAUUCUAUAUCAUAAGAGUUUCCUCAUUCUAUUUCUUUCCUUUUUUUCUUUCUUUCUUAUUUCUACUUCACACUACUCUUAUCUGCAUCUACACUCAACCACUUACAACUAAACUUUUUCCUUCCCUUCUCAAAACACCCUGAAGCACCUCAAAGAUCAUUCAUGUCCUUUAUUCUAUCUCAUGCAUCAUUCCACUCAUCAUGGAAAACCCCAACGCCAAUCCUCUUUAAUCUUUCAACCAUUCAAGUUAUGCUCUAUAUAAACUAUAAUCUCUCACCCUAAACGACAGAAAUCAAACUCACUCUCAUCGCAUUACUGUUUUUCCAGGUAUGUUUAAUAGUGUCGCCAGACACCACAGUGUCAACGAGAGUUUCGCAAGAAACUCUUUAAACCCUAAUCUAUAACUUUUAAACAUAGGUAAGUCAUCAUUUAAAACAAUAGAACUCAUAGCACAAUGAUCCAAGGAGAACCCAACCAACCCAGAAGAGUUUCCCUCAUGCAUAUAUCUCGUUUAAUUUUCCCAUGGUCAUACACCAAAUCACAAUAUCAAACAGACAACAAAGACAUCAUUCAACCUAUGAAAGCUCACGUAGUACCCUCAUCAAACUACAACAUUCUUAGUUUGCUCCCCUUAUCUGGUUUUCCAUUGAAUUUCUAAAGGUCCUUUGCUUCCCAACGGCUCCAAACAUGUUCCUUCCACAAGGUUGGUCUUCAAUCCCUUUGCUCCUACUUACACCACGUUCACGCGAAAAAGAAUUGAUCUCACCCUCUCUCACAAACCCUUACUUUGGCUGCAGCUAAAAAACAAAGUUUAGGAUUUUCUCCUUUACUCACACAUUCACCAAGUCUCUUUUUUUUUUUUCCAGCCUAAGCUUAACCUAAAGGAAUUUAAACUUUCUCAUACUUCCUGUUUGGCUAUCGUGAGAACCUCAGCUAGAGUUUGUUCUCUUCACUUGUGUUUUCGCACCUAGUUGAUUACUCGACUGUUAUGGAGAUGCUAUGAAGGGGGUCAUAGCUCUAGUGACCAUUGACCUUUAGGUUCAGGGAACCAUCCUGGUGAAAUUGCAUAUAUUUCACCUUGAAUCCGUAGUAGUGAACCUUUAUUAGGGCAUGGAGGAAGAAACGUGUAUUCCUGUAACCCUCACACUGUUUGUUCUUUUUUUAAAAUAAUGACAUUGCAUGCAUGCAUGUUGUUAGUCAUGUUCUUUUUACUUCGUUGUGUUACCAUGCAUCAUGUUCAUUCAUCAUUUGGUAACAUGCUGGUUUUAAGGGAAAUCACAGGUAUUCACUUGAUCUCAUACAAGAUGGAAGUUGAUACAAGAUCCGGUACUACACAACAAACUGAUUCUGCCAUUUUAAGAAGUAAACCUCGCCUAAGGACUCAUGGGGGAAAUCUAACAGGGCUGAUAAACUUAGGCAAAUGGCUAAAGACCAUGAAGAGAGAAACCUUCAGGAAGAAGUAUGGAAAUCUGUUGAGUCUAAUGGAGGUGGAAGUACAAUUGCUUGCUAUCACAGCCCUUGCACAGUAUUACGACUCUCCGCUAAGAUACUUCACAUUUCAAGACUUCCAUCUAGCGCCGACUAUAGAAGAAUUUGAGCACAUCAUGGGCUUGCCACUAGAGGGUACCACACCGUGUCAACACUUGAAGCAUCAUGCCUCUAUCCCAACCAUUGCCGCCAUAAUGAAAUUACAUCCCAAAGAACUCGAAGACAGGUUGGUAAUUAGGAAUCAAGUGCGUUGACUGACACAAGGAUAUUUUGAGCAGUAUUUGCAUCAUCUAGCCAAUAAGGAAGAGUGGGAGACCUUCAUGGACGUGCUAGCGCUCGCCGUGUAUGGCAUUGUUUUAUACCGCAAUAGAUGUCUUCGUAGCAAGAAAGACGAGGUUGGAGAAUCUUGUGAUGGCAGUCCUUGCUGACGUUUAUGGGACCAUGAGCUUCUGCCACGAAAGGAAAGGGAAGAAAAUCAUUUGUUGUUUGCCGGCACUGUAUGCUUGGAUGAUUGCGUGUGUGUUUAAAUUGGCAGUUAAUGUCAGGUGUCCUUCGGAAGACUUGUCGUACCAAGGGCUUAAAGACCAAGGAGGAAAUAAGUGGGCCUAUUUCUUUGCUGGUUUGAGUGGAGGCAACGUGAAGUGGCCCCUUCCUUGGCUCGGGAUUAAACCUUCUGAUGGGUGUCGCGACUCAUACAAAUUUGAUUGCAUAUGAGAAAUGCAGUAUAGACUAGGAAGUGACUCCUAGGUCGUCUCUUAAGGACCAAAUGUGGUUCGAGAAUUAGGUCAGACACAAAGUGGGGGACGUUGUGAAAGGUUUGUGAAUGCGGAUUAAUUAAAUCAAAAGACGGAUUCAAACAGAAAUGUAAAACUGAAAUGCAGACAGAAACAUAAAAAUGGAAUCAAAUAUAGAAUAAAAACGGUCGGUCAUUAACUCAAUUACUAUGCUUCCAAUCCUAGAUUAAAGACAAGUACACACUACUCUAAUCCAAAUCUGACGCGAAUCAGCCAACUAAGGGAAGACUAAUUCGGUCUUUAGAGUUGCAAACUAAGCGAAUGCAAUGCACCUAUUCCAUCCUAUGUGUUCUAUACAGAUCGAUCAACUAAGCGAAGAUGCAAUCACCAACUGGGCAACUAAGCGUAUACCCAUUGCAAGAACACAGUCAGAUUUCAUAGAGUGUCAGGCAAAGCAGAAUAAACACAGGAACAAUCCGAGAAUCUCAAGGAAACAAUGCAAUUUUAUUAAUGACCAACCCGACUAACCUAAGCUAACAUGACAGCUAAAUUAACACAAUCGACAGCGAACGAAAACAGUAAAUUUAACGGUCCUAAAACAAGAUGUGUAGUCAACAUGGGGUGAAAUUAAAAGACAAUGGAACUUGAAAUUAAAUUGCUAAGUUAGAAUAUAAAUGCACAUUGUAACUUGGAAUAAAAGAAGCAAAAUUUAACUAAUAAAUAAAAUGCAAUUCAUCAUAUGGAAAUACUUAAAAUGAAAUAAAUAAAAUUAAAAUGCAUCAUGGAAAUAGUUAACUAAUAAAUAAAUCACCACCCAUCUCUUAUCCUAAACGCCACUGUGCUUCCUUUUCCAAUUUAAAUAACCGCUGCACAUUCUCUUUAAUUGCAAGUGCGUAACCUUCAAAGCUAGGAAAGGAACCAAAUCUUCAUCUAUGUGCUGUUGCAUUCAAUUAAAAGCAAAUAAAAGGAAAUGCUAAGGUGGGUGGUUGCUGCCCAUUUCUCUAGCACCGUCUCUUCUAGCAAAUAAAAGAAAAGGUAGAGCUGUCAAAACGGGUAACCCGGCUCGACCCGGCCCGGCCCACCACAGGUUGAUCACUUAGUGAGCCAACCCAAUCCGGCUCAUUUAUUAGCGAGCCAGAAAAACUUGAACCCGACCCGACCCACCACGGGUUGGUGGGUAAACGGGUUGGCUCACUAGCCCAUUUAAUUAAAUUUUUUUUAAAUAAAAAAAAUACAAACUUUCUGUAAUUUAAAUUUAAACAAUUUCCACUUCCAAAAAAUUAUGUUAAAGACAAUUCAAAAUAAUAAUAAAAAGUACAAUAUAAUCCAAAUGUCAUUAAAAAACAAACACAAAAAACAUACAAAUAAGUUUCUUAUAUUCAUCAUUUUUUGUUCUUGUUGUAACCCUUGACCCUUGUUCUUGUUAUCUCCAAAUUCACUAAUAAAAAUUUUCCUAAUAUCAGAACAAUUCCGAUAAUCAAUAAAAAAAUAUUAGUCAAAAAAAGAGAAACACUACUCAACAAUAUCAACAAAAAAUUAAUAGUUUAAUCUGUAACAUAAUUUUCCAAAUUCAAAGAUAUCAAAAAGAGCUUGUUCAAAUAAAGUAUACUCAAAUUAUUUAAAUAAAAUGAACAAAAUCUUAUACAAGCAUGUCAGAACAUGAAAAAAUCAUUCCAUGUAUUCAAAUCCCCCAGAACAAAAAACAAAUUCGCAAACCCCUAUUUUUGUCAUUAUAGGGUUUUUGGAAAAAGAAAGAAAGAGAAGUGAGAAAACAAAAAUGUGGAGAAAAGAGAAGAAAAAAGGAAGGGUGUUUUACCUGCUCUUUGAAGAAUUUCAGUGAAGUGAGGGUGAGAGCACCGUCAAAUAAGAGCAAGUACCGUGAGAGUGAUUUGUGAGAGCAGAAGUUACUUUUUUGGUAUACACAGUCAGUGAAGAAAGUAUUUUAUUUUUUAGGGUUUCAUAAAUAAAAUAAUAAAUUAAAAAAUAAAAUUAGGUAUGUGGGUUGGUGGGCCAACCCGGCUCACCACGGGUUCAACCCGCAUGAGCCGGGUCUAAAUGAGCCGAAUUGAAAUCUGACCCGCAUAUAAGUGGGUUGUAUUUUUCAAACCCAACCCGGCCCGAACCCUUGACGGGCCGGGUUGGCUCGCGAGUUGUGACCCAUUUUGACGGCUCUAAGAAAAGGGACCCUCCAAAUGCAAUGACCGUGAAUAAAAAAAACUCCAAAUGAAAUAUGCGCCACUCGUGUGCCAAAAUCUGAAUUGCCUCUCCCAAAAGAAAUAAAGUGUGUCAAUCAAAUGCUUUUUCCUAUUUCUAAAAAAAAAUCAAAUCAAAAGCUGGUGGUGGCUGCUGCCGUUCCAACCCUUUGCACCCAAUGAGAAUUAAAAAAAAUAAACAUUCUUCUUUAUUCAUCCUAUGCCAAUCAACGUUAACAUCAUCAGUUCUUCCCAAAAAAAACUUUGCAGUAACCCUAUUUAAAAAAAAGUUCAAGCCUAGCAAUAACAAUGGCAGCAGCUACUUGCACAAAAUAAAAAUAAAAAAAUUCUUUCAUCCAUAAUCAUAAAUUUCAAACAGCUCUUUCAAUAAAAAAGUAAAACAGAACAAGCGUUCCAGCUCCUUUGCCCUUCUAAAACCGCUGGAGCUCUCUCCUUUUAAAUACGUUCCAGCAGGUUCCCAAAUAUCCAAAAGCCAAAACCGUUCAAAGACCCCCUCAAGCCAAAAACCGUUCCAUGCACUACCUCCUCACUCUGUCGAAAAUAAUGGUCCUUUAGUGUGUGACAGCUGCUAGGAUUCUAAGAGGCCAUGUGUCUCAAAAUUUAGGGUGGGGUCCACCCAACCCUAGGGUUGCCAAGUGUCAAGUGUCUAAUAAAAUUGGGCCCAACAACAUUUUUCCAAAAUUGGCCCAAGAUGCAAAGAGUUUGUCUAAAAAGUUUUAACAAUUAAAUUACAAUACAACUAAAAUUUAUUUGGUGUCCUCCAAAUGUCCUAAAUUAUGUUUCAAAAAUUUUCCCUGAAAAUAAUAAUGCAAAUAAUCAGCUCAGAAAAUUCAAAUUAAUUAAAAUUAGAAUUUCCGGUCAAAUUAAGCAUAAUUAGGAAAAACGGAAAAAUACCGGACAAUUAAGCACAAUUCCCUGAUUAAUUUUAGCACAAUAAACUAAGUGAAAUCAAUAAAAUAUCGACUCAUCACCCUCCAUUCAACAAUGUGGCAGCUUUCCUAAUGUACCUCUAAUAGGUGCCCGAUAUUGUAUGAAUUACAACCCUAUUUUGGUUCAAAGGCAAUUCAGGCAUCCCAUGAAAGGGGCACCUUCACCGGACUUUCUCACGGCAUUUUUCUUCUACUAUUAAAAUGGGCAUUUCACUAAAGUGCUUGGGAAACUGUUGUUCGAGCAUAAAAGGAUUUGAGGAUUGGAGUGGUGGACGACAAGUUUAGUUAUCAAGCAUGGAUCUUAGAAAGGGUGAAGGAAGUCAAACUGCCAUUCAAGCCAAUCAAUGAUCAUCUGACUAAUGAAGGGCAACCGCAAGACCUAGAGAGUGAAGAGGUGAAGCAGUUGAAAGCGGAGAUGGAAAAACUGAGAGAAAGGAAUGUUAGGUUGGAAAGAGAAUUAUAAAGUACGUGCAACGAUUUUGUAGAUAUGAGAAAUGACAAAGAGAAGAACUCAAAGGCCUAUGAGGAAAUCGUUAGAAGCCAGAAGGCCGAAAGGGAUUAUACAUUCCGAUUGAAGCAUGAUCUUGCAGCCGCAAGUAAAGAGCUAGCCAUGAGAGUAAAAGAGAAGAAUGUGGCGUUGGAAGAAGGAAAACAGUGGAAACACCUCUACGAAGAAGCCAAAAGAGAUAAGCGAGAAUCCUUGAAAAGACUAAGAGAAGCGCAAAUUCAAGUAGAAAAAAUGGGGCAUCAGAUGAAGGAAAUGGCCAAGUCGUUUGAGGCAGAUUUAAACCAUGAGCGUUGGAAGUUAGUAGAGGCAGAAGAAGGGCAUCGGGUCAUGUUAAAACAAAUUGAGGAUUAUAUUGAGGAGCAAGAGGAGUGAUGGAGGUCGAUGGAAUUUGAAGAAAGGCAUCAGGCCUUGGUGAAGCGAAUGGAAGAUCAAAUCGCGGAACAAGAAAAAGCUCUGAAGCAUUGGAAGGAAAGUUUCUCCCAUGUGGCUGCUUUAGCAAAUGGAGCAAUUGAAGAUAUCCCCCAAAAUGGUGUUGGAUGCCAAAGCAAGUAUUCACUUUUGAAGCCCGCCAAAAGAGAUAAAACUUUUUAUUAAUCAUUGUAAAUGGUUGGUAGGCGAAAUGAAAUCCUUCAUCGCUCGAGCUCGGGAGUGAUCUAUAAAUGAGAACCUUGUAUUUUGUUCCUUUAGAUGAUGUAUUGAACUGAGUUUUCUUUAAAUGAAAGAUGUGGAAUGUUCGUUUGGUACAAACUUGUGUUAAUUUCCAUCAGUAAUGUUAUCGCGAUCUUGUGAUUUCCACCUAUCACUAGCAUGCAUCAUGUUUUCUUUUGUUUAGGAUAUUUCAUUCUCAUCUAGUUUAAAUUAAUCAAAAUAAUAAAACAAUACAAGUGAGGAAAACAACGGCCAAUUUUCCACGACAUCCCUACAAGACUCGAGCCAAUUCAAGAGUCAUGGAAAGCUGGGAGGUGUCAUAAGAAUCCAUUAAAGCCGAUGUUAGCCAGAUGAAAGACCAGGUCAGCCAGAUCUUGGCUGCCCUCGAAUCCCUAAAGACUAUUGGAGAGUCUUCGCUGCACAAGUUGAGGGGAAUGCCUACUUUUAGGCCCGAUGUUCAAUGUCGUAAGCCAACCGGUCCCUCUUUUGAUGUUUGGUUUACCCCUAGGGUACACUCCUCCCAUAGGGGAUUACUCAGAAGCAAAACAUGCAUCAUUCUCCUUUCCCAUAACUAUUAAUGUACCGUCAAUCGGCACUUACGGACCUAUCUAGUGUCGGCUCCCAUGGUGAGUACAGGGAUGAAUGAGACAAACACAAUUAAAGGAAUGCGAGUAACUACAAUGCCACACAUGGUUACUACAGAGGACUCUUCAGCCAAGGCCGCACCGCACACCGCGUUGCAUGGGGUAAUUAGUGGCGUAGAUGGAGCUAAGAGUAGGUUGGAGAUUCUAGAGUAGAGAUUGAGGGCAACUGAAUGAGUGGAAAGCUAUGGGUUUAGAGACGUUGCAAGCCUAAGCUUGGUUCCUGGUGUGAAAAUAACGCAUAAGUUUAAAGCGUCGGAGUUUGAGAAGUACAAGGGUAGUACAUGCCAGCUACUCAUCCAUUUUUUUCCAAGACAAUUUAGCUGGGGUUGCGUUGAACUGGUAUACCCACCUAUAGCCAUCUCGAAUCCGUUGCUGGGCGGAUUUGGCCGACACCUUUGUGAAACAGUAGAUAUACAACACGCAUGUCGCACUGGACCGUCUGUAGUUACAAAAUAUGGCAAAGAAGGAUAACGAAAUUUUCAAGGAAUAUGCCUAGCGAUGGAGAGAGUUAGCUGCACAGGUUAAGCCGCCUUUGUACGACAAAGAAAGGGUGGCAAUGUUUGUGAACACACUCUAGCCACAAUUUUACAAGCAUAUGGUGGGAAAUGUGUCAUCCAAUUUCGUCGAUAUCAUCAUAAUAAGCGAGAGAAUAGAAAUUGGGUUGAAGAAUGGGAAAAUUGCAUAUGGCCCAUUCGCGGCAGCAAACUCUAAAAAACUCAUUUUCAAUCCAGGAAAGAAGAAGGAAGGCGAUGUGCAUGCAGGAUCGGCAACGCUUGUGUGGAGAGUUCAAGCUACCACUCACAAUUAUAGACCAUACUUGGUUAGUCUUCCUACGCAGCCAAUGCGGCAUUUGCUCAUCAAAUUAGGCCUCAACAACAACAAGAAUUUUUUAACCGCAACAUAUCACAAACGAUGCUUGGAGGACUGGGAUAAGCGCGAAUCCAAUUCUGAAUGCGGGUGAAGGCGCUUAUCCAAGAAAGACCCAAGAAAGAAAUUUUGUUCAUUUCACCCUCAUCCCUACAACUUACACUAAAUUAUUACCUCACUUCAUCGAAAGGGGUCUAGUUGCUAUAUGUCCGAUGAUGCCUAUGCAGCCUCCAUACCCCAGGGGUUAUGAUGUCGAUGCCAAUUGUAGUUAUCAUGGGGGAGGCGUUGGUCACUCAACUGAGAGGUGUAUGGUCUCCAACACCUCAUUUUCUUGUUUAUUUAUACUUUUUCACAAACUUAAAGUUUGCAGAUAUGACAAUGAAUGUUUUGAAAAAAACAAUGUCGAUAUUCCUAAUGUUGAGCACCGUGGGAAGAUGAUUGUGAAGAUGGUUAGGAACCCUCACCAGAACUACGUGAUACUUGAUAUUUUUAUUCUGUCGCAACAGGAAUUGCGAUGGGACCCUCACCCGAUGUCGAUUAGGGCCUGCACUUUAUGUUUGAAGGCCAUACACCUCUCGGUUGAGUGACCAACGCCUUCCCCAUUAUAACUACACUUGACAUCGACAUCAUAACCCCUAGGGUAUGGAGGCUGCAUAGGCAUCAUCGGACAUAUGGCAACCAGACCCCUUUUGACGAGGUGCGGUAAUAAUUUAGUGUAAGUUGUAGGGAUGGGGUGAAAUGAACAAAAUUUCUUUCUUGGGUCUUUCUUGGAUAAGCGUCUUGACCUGCAUUUAGAUUUGGAUUCGCGUUUGUCCCAGUCCUCCAAGCAACGUUUGUGAUAUGUUGUGGUUGAUAAAAUCCUUGUUGUUGAGGCCUAAUUUGAUGAGCAAACGCCGCAUUGGAUGUGUAGGAAGGCUAACCCAAGUCUAGUCUAUAAUUGUGAGUGGAGCUUGUUUGAUCUCUCCAUACAAGCGUUGUCGAUGCUGCAUGCACAUCCCCUUCCUUCUUCUUUUCUGGAUUCAAACUGGGUUUUUUAGAGUUUGCAACCGCGGACGGGCCAUAUGCAAUUUUCCCAUUCUUCAACUCAAUUUCUAUUCUCUCGCCUAUCAUGAUGAUAUCGCAAAAUUGGAGGAUACAUUUCCCACCAUAUGCUCGUAAAAUGGUGGUUGCAGUGUGUUCACAAACAUUGCCACCAUUUCUUUGUCAUACAAAGGCGGAUCAACUUGUGUAGCUAACUCUCUCCAUCGUUGGGCAUAUUCCUUGAAAGUUUUGUUAUCCUUCUUUGCCAUAUUUUGUAACUGCAGACAGUCCGGUGCGACAUGUGUUGUAUAUGUAUUGUUUCACAAAGGCGUCGGCCAGAUCCGCCCAACAACGAAAUCUAAAUGGCUCUAGGUGGGUAUACUAGUUCAACGCAACCCUAGCCAAACUGUCUUGGAAAAAUUGAUGAGUAGUUGGUCGUCAUAAGCAUACGCAACCAUCUUUCUACAAUACAUGGUGAGAUGGCUUUUAGGGCAUGUACUACCCUUGUACUUCCCAAACUCUGGGGCUUUAAACUUAUGCGGUAUUUUCACACCAGGAACCAAGCUUAGCCUUGCAACGUCCCCAAACCCAUAACUUUCCACUCCUUCAAUAGCCUUCAGUCUCUCCUCUAGAAUCUCCAACCCACUCUUAGCUCUAUCUACGCCAUUAAUUACCUCAUGCAACGCGGUGUGCGGUGCGGCCUUGGCUAAAGAGUCCUAUCCAGUAACCAUGUGUGGCAUUACAGUUACUCACGUUCGUUCAAUUGUGUUUGUCUCAUUCAUCCCUGUACUCACCAUGAGAGCCGACACUGAGAUAGGUCCCUGAGUGCCGAUUGGCGGUACAUUAAUAGUUGUGGGAAAGGAGAAUGAGGCAUGCUCUGCUUCUGAGUAAUCCCCUAUGGGAGGAGUGUACCCUGAGGGUAAACCAAACAUCGAGAGAGGGACCGGUUGGCUUACGACAUUGAACAUCGGGGCUAAAAGUGGGCAUUCCCCUCAACUCGUUCAGACGAAGACUCUCCAAUAGUCUUUAGGGAUUCGAGGGCAGCCAAGAUCUGGCCGACCUGGUUUUUCAUCUAGCUAACAUCGACUUUGAUGGAUUCUUGUGACUCCUCCGAGCUUUUCUUGACUCUUGAAUUAGCUCGAGUCCUGUAGGGAUGUCUUGGAAAAUUAACCGUUCUUUUCCUCACUUGUACUGUUUUAUUAUUUUGAUUAAUUUAAAUUAGAUGAGAAUGAAAUAUGCUAAACAAAAGAAAACAUGAUGCAUGCUAGUGAUAGGUGGAAAUCACAAGAUCACGAUGACAUGGCUGAUGGAAAUUAACACAAGUUGGUACGAAAGGAACAUUCCACAUCUUUCAUUUAAAGAAAACUUCGUUCAAUACAUCGUCUAAAGGAACAAAAUACAAGGAUCUCAUUUAUACAUCAGUCCCGAGCUCGAGUGAUGAAGGAUUUCAUUUUGCCUACCAAUCAUUUACAAUGAUUAAUAAAAAGUUUUAUAUCUUUUGGCGGGCUACAAAAGUGAAUACUUGCUUCGGCAUCCAACACCAUUUUGGGGAUAUCUCUAAUUGCUUCAUUUGCUAAAGCACCCAAUUGGGAGAAACUUUUCUUCCAAUGCUUCAAAGCUUUUUCUUGUUCCGCAAUGUGAUCUUCCAUUCGCUUCACCAAGGCCUGAUGCCUCAAACGACGUGGCCAUUUCCUUCAUCUGAUGCCUCACUUUUUCUACUUGAAUUUGCGCUUCUCUUAGUCUUUUCAAGGCUUCUCGGUUAUCUCCUUUGACUUCUUCAUAGAGGUGUUUCCAUUGUUUUCCUUCUUCCAACGCCGCAUUCUUCUCUUUUACUCUCAUGGCUACCUCUUUACUUGUGGCUACAAGAUCCUGCUUCAAUCGGAAUGUAUAAUUCCUUUCGGCCUUCUGGCUUCUAAAGAUUUCCUCAUAGGCCCGUGACUUCUCCUCUUUUUCAUUCCUUAUAUCCACAAAAUUGUUGCACGCACAUUGUAAUUCUCUUUCCAACCUAACAUUCCUUUCGCUUAGUUUUUCCAUCUCCGCUUUCAACUGUUUCACCUCUUCACUCUCUAGGUCUUGCGGUUGCCCUUCAUUAGUCGGAUGAUCAUUGAUUGGCUUGAAUGACAGUAUGACUUUCUUUACCCUUUCUAGGAUCCAUGCUUGAUAACUAACUUUGUCGUCCACCACUCCAAUCCUCAAAUCCUUUUCUUCUCGCACAACACUUUCCCAAGCACUUCUAACUUUCCUCAGCACUUCAGUGAAAUGCCCAAUUUCAUAGUAGAUGAAAAAUGCCAUGAGAUAGUCUGAUGAAGGUGCCCCUUUCAUGGGAUGCCCGAAUUUCCUUUGAACAAAAAUAGGUUUGUAAUUGAUACAAUAUCGGGCACUACGAGAGGUACAUUGGGAAAGCUACCACAUUGAUGGAUGGGGGAUUUAAUCCCGAGCCAAGGAAGAGGCCACUUCACAUUGCCUCCACUCAAACCAGCAAAGAAAUAGGCCCACUUAUUUCCUCCUUGGUCUUUAAGCCCUUGGUGCGACAAGUCUUCUGAAGGACACCUGACAUUAACUGCCCCUUUAAACACACGCGCAGUCAUCCAAGCAUACAAUACCAGCAAACAACAAAUGAAUUUCUUCCCCUUCCUUUCGUGGCAGAAGCUCAUGGUCCCAUAAACGUUAGCAAGGACUGCCGUCACAGGAUUCUCCGACCUCGUCUUUCUCGAUACGAAGACAUCUAUUGUGGUAUAGUCCACAAAGUCUUAUAUCUUGGGGAAUAAAUAAAUUUCAUACAAAACGAGCGCUAGCACGUCCGUGAAUGUCUCCUACUCUUCCUUAUCGGUUAGAUGAUGCAAAUACUGCUCCAGAUAUCCUUGUGUCAGUCCACGCACUUGAUUCCUCAUUAUCAAUCUGUCUUCGAGUUCUUUGGGAUGUAAUUUCAUUAUGGCGGCAAUGGUAGGGAUAGAGGUGUGAUGCUCCAAGUGCUGAUAUGGCAUGGUACCCUCUAGUGGCAAGCCCAAGAUAUGCUCAAAUUCUUCUAUAGUCGGUGUCGCAACUGGUGUCGCGAUAGGAUGACGAUAAAAAAACACAGUUUUUGAAAAAAGUUUUGGAGUCGCCACCAUAGUUUAUUCUGGAAAACUAAUGAAGAAUAAUAAAAAGAUAAGGCAAGGUCCACGAAAACCAGAUUCUAGGUUCGGGAGUCGGUUACGUGUAGGGAAGGUAUUAGCACCCUACAACGCUUGUCCUAAGACAGUACCUUUAAUUAAAUACACGAAUUUGAUGUGGUUUUCAAAAUGCUUAACUAUCCCCAAAAACAAAAUUCUAAAGAAAUAAAACAUGUUGUUUUGUAUUUUUGUGUCCGACAAGGAUUGACCUUACUCCUAUGUAUUCUCAAGAUGAGAAAUCAAGGCUACGUAGUUCUAACUGAAAGAUUGUUUGUUGUUUGAUGUUUGAGAAAGGAUGUUUUGUUUUUGGUAUUUUUAUGCGAGAAAGAGAAAGGUUUUUUAGCAAAAAGAGGAUGCGAGCGAUCACACAUGUGCUUAAACCUUUAAAACAUUUUUUCUUAUAUAUGUUUUUAUAAAGGAAGAAAAGAUCUCAGCACGAGGACGAUGCGAGCGAUCACAUACGCGCUUAAACCUUUAAAACAUAUUUUGGAUGUUAUUUUUUAUAAAGAAAGAAAAGGUGUCAGCACGAGGACAAUGCGAGCGAUCACACGCGCGCUUAAACAGGAAGAAAAGGUCUCAACACGAGGACGAUGCGAGCGAUCACACACGCGCUUAAACCUUUAAAACAUUUUUGGAUUUUUUUUAUAAAGGAUCUCAGCACACGCGCUUAAACCUCUAAAACAUUUUUUGAUACAUUUUUAUUUUUUUUAAAUUUUUUUUAUAAAAGAAGAAAAGAUCUUAGCACGAGGAGGAUGUGAGCGAUCACACACGUGCUUAAACCUUUAAAACAUUUUUUAAUAUUUUUUGUAUAAAAGAAGAGGACGAUGCAAGCGAUCACACACGUGCUUAAACCUCUAAAACAUUUUUGAUAUAUUUCUUAUAAAAGAAGAAAAGAUCUUAACACGAGGACAAUGCAAGCGAUCACACAUUUUUUUUUUAUGUUUUUUAAAUAUUUUUUUGAAUUUUUUAUUACUUUUUCUCAAUAUAAAAAUAUAAUAAUAUUUAAGUAAAUAAGUAGAAAAAGUCUAAAAUAUUUAAAGUGGGGUAAAACUAGUAAUUAGGAGUGCACAAAAGAAAGUUAGACAAACAUAUAAACAUAUAAUAAAAACAGGGGUACACCAAGUAAAGCAAAUAAUAAUAAUAAUAAUAAUAAUAAUAGUAAUAAUAAUAAUAAUAAAAGUUUGCACAAUGGAAGUGGGCUUAGCCUCUCUUCCUCCGAGCGAAACACCCAGAACCAACCACUCUCACCGCCUGCGUUUCUUCCUCCCGGCCAGCCGCCGCGUCGACAUUCGAGCUCGGCCUGAGAUGCCGCCGGCGAAGCAGGUCGCCACCGCAGCCUUAGCCAGCCGCGUGCACCACCGCCCUCCACCGAGAUCUCGCCCCUUUUCGCGUGUGAGAGGAGAACGCACACCUUCCACCUUGCGUUCUUGCCACCGUUGCCUCCACCUAAGACGGCCGUCGCGAGUUGCGGCGGAGGUGCUUCCUCACCGGCGCCACCAGCGCCGUUCUCCUCCCUCUCCAUUCGAGGGUUUUCUUUCCUUUCCCUUAAACGCCAGCGCCUCCAGCAGCACCACCGCCGAUGUCGGGGACGAAAAUGAUUUUUUUUGCUUUAUUGGUUAAUUCAUCUAUCAAUUGAUGUUUUGUUUACUGGGAUUGGAAACAUUGGAGUGUGUGUUGGGUGCUAGAAGUUGGUCUUUGUUCUUGGUGAUUAGUUUUUAUUUCUGUUGCUUUGUGCAGUGCAUGUUGAGAAUGGUGGUGUUAUGCUUGAGCUGGGAUGGAGAUUCUAAUGAGGAUGAAGAUACUGGUUAUAUUUUUUUGUUGUGUUUUCCUGAUAAGUAUCUAGCUUAACAGCAAAGGGGAUGGUGAUGAUGGGUAAGAAAGUAGGCUACUAUAGUGGCCGGAGAUGAUGGUGAGUGAGAACGAAGAGCAGAUAAGACAAGCAAGGCAAUAGGAAGCAUAAAACUCAUACACGGGGGCAGAGCAAUAGAAAGCAUAAAACGCAAUAGCAAGCAUGGAUUGCAGUCCAUAAUACAGCAAACUUACUCCAUUAUACAUCCUAACAUGAACGAGUAAAUGAGUGAAGGAGUUGCUUACCUGAGUUUCUGUGCUAUUGCUGAUGAUCUCCUCUCUUUUCUUGGCCGGCCUCCCUUUUGUUUCUUUCUUUUCUUGUAAAUUGAGUACGCCUCCUCCAGGAAUGGAAUGGAUGAUGAAGGUGACUCUUGAUGGAAGCAAAGGCUAGAGUGUGAACUGGUACGGUGGCUCUCAAAUGUUAAUGGAGGAUGCAGAUGGUUCAAAGGAUGAGAAUGCAGAUGUUGUUGAAUGGAGAAUGCAGAUGUGGAAUGUUGUUGAAGGAUUUUUUAAUGUUGUAUAACAGAUGGAUGAAGCCAAAGAAUGGCUAUUCGCGGAGGUAAAUGAGAAGAAGAUAUUCUGUAUUUUUUUUUUGUCGUGAGAACUUGGCUUAGUGAUGAGAAAUGGGAUUUAUUCGAGGUCGAGUGAAUAGAGGAAUAGUGUGAGAGUAAUGCUUCUCUGAGUGAAAAAAUGGUUUCUGUUAAACAUCCCCCGGUUGGGGAAAAAAUGGUUCCUCCUUUUGUUGUUUUGGUUCCUGCACCUUGCGUGAGGAGGCUAAAGCCUGACACUCCAUUGCUUCCUGCUCCAGCCAUCCCUGGUGCUUGUGCAUUCCUUUUUCUUCUUAAGGCAAUUAGCUAAAAUAAUUUAGGCUUGAAGCCACUGAGCUAAAGAUUUCCACCCAAAAUUGGGUGACGCACCUUCAUAGAAAAAGAUUUGAUUUACAAAAAGGUUGAUAGUACUGGAAACAGAGAGGAACGGACAAAUGCAAUAGCUUAUCACGCUUUUUUUUGUUUUGUUUUCUUUUGUUUUUUUCUUUAUAAGUUUUGAUUCUUUCUUUUCUUUUCUUUUUUUUAAAUAAGGGACUAAAUAAAAUACAGUAAAUUAAACUAAUAUUAAAAUACUAAUAUAAAAC
rnacentral:lncRNA from 1 species